CCUACGGGUGGCAGCAGUGAGGAAUAUUGGUCAAUGGACGGAAGUCUGAACCAGCCAUGCCGCGUGCAGGAAGACGGCUCUAUGAGUUGUAAACUGCUUUUGUACAAGGGUAAACCUGAAUACGUGUAUUCAGCUGAAAGUACUGUACGAAUAAGGAUCGGCUAACUCCGUGCCAGCAGCCGCGGUAAUACGGAGGAUCCAAGCGUUAUCCGGAUUUAUUGGGUGUAAAGGGUGCGUAGGCGGAUUGAUAAGUUAGAGGUGAAAUGUCCGAGCUUAACUCGGGAACUGCCUCUAAUACUGUUGAGCUAGAGAGUAGGUGAGGUAGGCGGAAUGUAUGGUGUAGCGGUGAAAUGCUUAGAGAUCAUACAGAACACCGAUUGCGAAGGCAGCUUACGAAUCUAUAACUGACGUUGAGGCACGAAAGCGUGGGGAACAAACAGGAUUAGAUACCCCUGUAGUC
rnacentral:rRNA from 1 species